UGGAAAUUUCUAUCCCUUUACGAUUGAGAACUUGUAAUUUUAGAAUAAAAAAUCUAAAUUGGUGAGGGUUUUUUUUUCAUUCUGCAAAAUGUUUGCACAAAAAAUAUUGUUACUAAUACAACGAAGUGGUGAAUUGCGGGUCACAUCAGAUGUGUAAAGCGUUACGAACAAAGCGUUGGAGAACCGUGUGAAAUAUUUUAUUAGAAUUCAUUCCAAACCUUUAACUCGUAGAAAACAAUAUACAUUGUAUUAUCUUUUACUCAAAAUUGUAUUCUUUUUCAACCAAAAAGAUUAAGUCAGUUUUAAAAUGGAGACUGCCGAUAAAGUCUGACUACGAUGUUUUCGUACCGGUACAAUUGUGGAAUGCACAAUACAUUUACAUGCUUUACACAGUUAUAACAAUAUAUGAAUCAACCAUAAAUGACUCAGUGAUGUUGUAAUAAACAUGCAUUUUUUACACGAUAAGAUUGUGUACAAAUACCACACAUACCAUCGGACAACGGCUAUCUGGCUGAAGCUGUCAAUCAAAUUUUGAGUAUUUGAUUUUAUUGGAUGGUGACGCGCCUCUUUUAUGUAAACAGCUAAAUGAAACGAAUUGACCUUAAAGCAGUCGGAAUCAGUAUCUAAUAGUAUUAUUUGAAUGAUAUAGAUUCCAGCGAUUCGAAAAAGAGUGAAAAAUGUACCGUUCAUGCAUACACAUGUAAUAUGAAAUGCGAGAGAAGAAAUAUAAUCAGUGAUUAGAGAUUUCAUUAUAUGACUUCAUUAUUCUUGUUAACUUGAUUUACGGAAAAUAACAAGGAUAUGUUUAAACACAAUAAUUACAAUUAACGUGUACAAGCAUUUCAAACAGGAAAUCCGUAUGCAUGGUACUUAUUAAAAUAGUUAGUAGCAAAUACGCCGUUAUACAAUGUUAGGUCCGAAACACUCUGUAUGUAUAAUGAAAUUAGGUAUACAAAAAUUAAACAAAUUGAAUAGGGCCAUACAAUUACAAGAUUACCCCAAUUCAAGUUAUGCACAGUUACAAUAUCUACAAAAUCAAUGAUUAAAAACGACAUUCUAAGUAUUUUUCGACGAAAUACGUGACUUGUGCACUGCAAACUUUACUCUAUAAAUUAGGGUUUUUUUCUUCACGUUAUUGCAAGAGCGCCGCGGGAAAAAAUAACGUUAUACAACGGCAAAUGACGUAAGGCUGCUACAACGUCACAGUCAGCGUAAGGGGGAAAAGUUAAAAUAACUCGUUUUAAAAUUAAAGAAAAAAAUAUUGCUUGACUUCAUGCAUCAAUUGUUUAUUCUUUAUUGUUUAUUAUGUUACAUCAAAAAUAGUGCGACUUUUUGAAAAUUUAUUUCAAGCUCCGUAAUCUACCGAGCUCAUCCCGUAAAAUCCCGAGCUCUCAGGCUCAAUUGUACAUCGGAUACCUUAACAGGAAAAAGAUCGAAAUCAUCUCAAUGAGUGAUGAUUCAACCACGGAGAGUUACUGCCUUCUGAACAGUAGUUUCGAGAGACAACUGCUAUCUCUUGAGGGAAAUACAAGCACGGCCGUGGCCAGCACCUCCACCGCGGCGAUGGAGCAAGAGGAGCCCGAGAAAUAAUUGGAAAAAUUAACAGAGGCCCCCUUCCCCCCAGACAGGAGGAGAAAAUGGACAUGUUUUAAAAUUAAUAAAUAUUUUUUAAAAGUGUUUGCAUUGUUAGUUGUGUAUAUUGCAAUUGAAUUACUUGAAAGAAAGAAAACCUGG